ACAGUUUUAAGAAUGAUUUGGAGAAUCAAGAGGAAAAAGGGACUCUUACAAGUGAAUUCAGAGUAUUAUUUUGCCCCAAAUCCUAUUUAACAUAGAUGAAAAUUUGGGUUUAUCAUAGAUCAUGAUUAUACAUUAGCUCUUUGAAGUUGUAAUGUUGAGAUGUUCUUUGAACAUCUAUUUUGAAGUUCUAACUAGAGAUCUUAGAAUAAAACUCCCCCUGGUGAAAUGUAAAAUGUGAAGAGGUGAAAGAAAAGUCAGACUGGAAGGAAAAAGAAUCUUUCCCAACCAUAACCAGGCCAUGCAAAUAGAAGUCAGAUGGGAGAAGAAACAGAAGCAGAAAUGGCUUUGUAAUUCACGGAGCAUGAAGCUCUUUGAGAGUGCCAGCCAUAGGGAGCCACCGAGGUGGGAAGUCUCUCUGUUUUGGGAACACAAGCUGGAAUUUCAAAGAUAUGAAGACACAGGCCUUUCUCUGAAAGUGGUGGACUGUGAUGUCCUUUAGAGGGAACAUCCAGAGCUGAGUACGUACUCAUGCUAAGGAAAGUUAUUCUGUCAAUCUAGAAAGGUCUAGAGACCUUUGAAAACAAUAGGAAGCAGAAAAGGCAUACACUUCAGCAUCUGAGAGGCCUGUGUUGGUACUUUGUAAAUCACUUAAUCCCUCUGCGCCCAGUUUCUUCAUCUGCAAAUUGGUGAUGAUAAUAGUAGGAUUGUCAUGAACAUUAAAUGAGAUCAUGGGCAUGGGGCACUUGGUGAGGUACCUGGCAAACAGGAGCCAUUUAAUUAAUUGUCAUCAGCACUCACUAUCCAAAUGAUAAAGAACAGUGUAUCUAGGGCUUUUGUUAGGAGAGAUUUCUUAUUACAUUACUCUGUUACUGAGAUCCCUUGUAAAACCCUAAAUUUGCUUUUGCCACUCUUUUCCUAUUGGCAGUUCACUCAGUGUCCCUCCCAUCUCUCUCACACCCUGCUAUUUUGUGCAUUUGGUAAACUUCCAACUGCCAGUAUCUGCCAUUUUCCAGGCCAAGAGCUGUAGAAGACUGCCGGUGCAGGUGGCAGGGAGGAGGUGAGGGCACUUAAUGGCUUCCCACGAGCAGCCCUCGGUCAGUGACUGAUGGGAGUGGGUACACAAAUGCCCAACCUCUCUUGCCUCUUAGGUAGGAUAGUUGUGAUUCCCAGAGUUUCUGUGCGGACUAGACUCUUACCUGGCUACUGCACACUCUUUAAUGUCUGCCUUCUCUUCUCCAUCUCACUUUCUUACUUUCUUAUUGGGUUUCUUUCAUUUCUCAAAUCAGCUGUCAGAACUGGAAUAUUUAUUGCUGAGUUUGAUUCUGGGAGAACCCAAUGAAGUCAUUUUCUUGAGAAAAAAUAGUUGUCAAGUGGCUUUCUACCAAAAGAUGUUUAAUAAUAGAAAAACUAAAGUGUUCUUUAUAUGGUUAACUCAUAUUUCCCUACACACAUUAUUUGGCAACAGUAUUAUUUAAACAGUUAAACAACAUAAAGGUGAUUUGAAAGAAGUAUAAGGACACCACUGAAUUUAUAAUUAAGUGCAUUCAGUUUAAGCAUCUAAGAUUAGGCAUCAGUUUCAUGAAAUGCCAAAGAAAAACAAUCUCAGAUAAAAAGAGUUAAUGAUUUAAGAACAAUAUCAAUUGCAACUAUUAAGUCCUCCUGAAUUCAAGUGUCUGCACACAGUAUUAACUGGUGUCCUUGGAAUACUAGGUCCCGUUGAUAGCUAUUGACCAGGUUUAUGGUAAUGGAAAUGAGUAGAGAAUGGAUAGUCACUCAUAUUCUUUUACUUCUUAGUUACUAAAAACGUACACUAAAAAGUGCUGUUCUCUACUAUGCUCGUUCUCUUAUUUGAGGAAUAAAAGGAGAAAAAAAAUGGAAACAAAGUGUGAGCUCUUUCUUAACAAAAGGCACUUGAUCGAUAUUCUUAAAGACAACUUCAGUGAGGAAGUCAUAACUGCAUAACCUGUAUGAGUAGCUUAAUUUUGGCAAAGGAAGGGAAUGAAUGGGACGGGAAGGCUAAGAGCAUAGGCGGAACCCAUCUAUAAUCAUGGCUCCACAUUUAGUAACUGCUUUAAUUCUUUAUCAUAAAUGUAAAAGCCAGUCCAGAUACAUGCAAUAUUUAUAAUAAAUGUUGAGACCAUGAUAUUAUCAUCAUGAGGCCUGUUUGCAUUCUUUCUCAUGUGGACAAAGCCCAAAUUUCUUGUCUCCCCACAAAAUUAACUUCUCUAUUUCCUGCAUUGGCCACACAUCUGAUUUUGGAGAGCUGUUCCAUCUGUGUAUCAGGUUGGCAUGAGGUGAGACAUGUCCCUCUUUUACUGAUGGUGCCUUACAGUUUGGACAACGUAUCUGAUGUCUUUUUGACUUUGUCUCCUAGGAUGGUUUACAAAUGAUAUCAGUGGUUGUAGCUUCAAAACAGCAGCUUUCAAACUUUUUUUUUCUAGCAAUUUAAUCCUGUUUCCAAAUAGAAUACUUUUUUGAGCUCCAAAGUGUAAUAGAUAACAUGGAAAUACUGAUUCAAUAGUUUAAACUGGUAGCAGACUGCUGUAUGUGCUCAGUAUAGUUCACAAUCAUUAUUCAUGCAGAGACUCCAGGGAGGUAUAGUGGGAAAUUUUACUUCCAAAUUAAAUUGCCAACCACAUCUUAACUACUGCCUGCAUUUUCCAUCAUGAACAUCCAACUCAGACAAGAAGCAGAUGAAAAUUAUAAUAAGUACUGAAAGAUUUAUAAUUCAAUACUAAGACAUUAUCUGUUGGAAAUUAACUUGUUUUUGAACGAUUGGCUGUUAUGUGAUAAGGUUAUGUUCCAGGCAGAUGAGUCUACAUCUUACAUGGUAUGUAAAUGGGAAGGGCACACUACAGUAGAAUGGGGUAACUGGUGUGGGAAACUGAGUUCCCUUAUCAUAUACCGCUUACAGAAAGUACAGUUUACUAAGAGAGGCUCAAAGAAUGCAUCCUUAGCAAAUUAUGCCAGGAGAUUUCAGGCUGGGGGAGUUUAAGGAAUGAAUCGUUUCUAUCCUCCUUGGUACUGCCUGUCUGAGAUCCCAUCUAGCUGCAUGAAACCCAGAGUGAGGUCUCAACUGACACUUUAAUUCAAAACUGUUACCCUGAAAAUUCAGCGUGAUACCCCAGCACGACUGCAAAAUCUUACAUUAACUAACCAGCCUAGUAACCUGGCUCUAAUAAUUCCUUGUUAUGCCACUAGCACCAUCUUGAAACAUUGCUUACAGUUUAUGUAAUAAGACCAAGUAUUGCACAUGUCCAAUAUAGACUAUAUGUAGGCCUUGAUAAAUAUGUGGGACUUCAUUAUACAUCUUUAGAAAUGAGACUAAGCCAGGUAGUCGCCUUUAAAAACAAAAGACCAGGACUAAUCCUUACUCUUACUAACAAGUAACAUAUUUAAAGAAACAUUUAUUUAAAUAACAUGUUUAAAGGACUAAAUCCACAGAUUUGGUAAAAGUAGCUUUAUACUGAGGUUUGCACACAGGAAUUUCUUAGCCAGGUGAUAUCUUGGAAGGGGGUUCACCAAAAUGUGCUAAAAUCUGAUAUAAAACGCAUAUGAGUUAGUGACUCCCAGUGUAUUGCCACAGUGUUCAAAUACUCAUAAAAAUUUUUUUUAAUUUGGACCAAAUUAUUUGUAUGUAACACCUGAAACAACUUACCAGGAUUUUAGGCGUCUAGAAACAUAGCUGGAAAAUAAAUCCUAAAAUGAGAUCCUUGACUUGGAGGAUUUUGAUUAUUGCCAUUUUACAAGGAGAAAAAGCAAAUAAAACAAAAAACAGAAAAAAAAGACUUAGGCAAGAUUACACAGUAACUCGGUGGCAGACUUGGAAAGUGGAGGUCAAGGUUUCUGUGCUGAAGUCCAGGAAUCUAAUUACCUAAAUUUCCAAUAAGUAGAAUAUAGAACCCAAGUUCCUAAAGAGAACUAUAUUAUUUAAUUUGGUGUAAAAUUCAAGUGGGAACUAUUAGUUGCUAAAAAUAUAGCAGUGGGAUUCAAGUUCCUAUUACUUUGACUUUGCUCUUGAAUCCCUGUCUGAUGGCUUGAUAAUGAUAAAAAAUUAAAGCCUAAAGCUAUGCACAGGAAUAGUCAUUAGUUGAUGAGGACAGAACCAAUAGUGGGUAGGAAUUGUAGGCCAUGAAGUCAUCUGUAAUAAUCUUCCUAAUAGUUUUUGGGCCAUGAUGUGCUGAAUAUCAAACACCAGCUGACUCAGUUUGUAGGUUGUAAAGUGUCUGUGGGCAACAAAGUGUCAUUGUUUCUCCCUAAAAUGAUGCUAAAGUACAUUCCCAAUAGAAUAUCAUUUUAAAUGACCACCAUUUAAAGAAAUCCUUUUCCUCCAGAAGUAAUAUUCAGAACAGUCUGCUCUAGAUUGAAGGCUUGGGUGACUUUUUGUGUCCCAUGGGAAAUUUUGAACUUUUCCAUCUGAUCAUCAAGAGGAGUCAGGGGGAGCCUAGCCAGGGUGCUCACUUUGGAAAAACACAAGAAAUUCUGUGUUGUGGAGGAAAAUGUAGGGGUGAGUAUUCACUUAAGCCACUUAGUUUGCCCAUUCAGAAGGUAAGUCCAAAGGAUGGGAAACAAUCUAUAAAUGGAAGACAAAACCCAGAACAGCCAUGAGGACAUGUAAUAUCAGGGAGGCAUGGAUCGUGGAGAGGUCUCUUUUUAUUCUUAUUGAUUUUCAAGUAUGUGGCUUACUAGUUUUGAGGGUGGGUGUGAACAUGUGCUUCGUAUCUGUGCCACCUUCUCAUUUCUUUUUCCUGAAAAUCCCUGGGGUGGGGUGGGGUUAGGGCCAGCCAGGGUUAGUGUGUAUGAGUCAGCAGGGAAGGUUUCAAGAAACAGUUUGACUGAAGACUUUUUAUAAAUAACUAAUAAUUGCAUGAGGAGAUAGGACAUGUUUCAGGCAAUGCUCAUAAAGGAAAUAUUUUAUGUGAAAAAUACGCUAUUUCCAUAACACAUACUUGCACCCACUGGGAGUUACAAAGUACUUUGCAUUUAGCUGGGUUGUGAAGGGGUUUCUACCACUCUGCUUCUGAAAUGACAUCUGUUUUUUUUUUUCAUUUUUCUUUUUGCUGUGAAUACUUAUAGGCUUUGUAGAGUAGACCCGAUGACUUGGAAUAUGCAUCCUCAAUAGAUAAAAAGGUAGUUAAAGUACCUUCCAUUGGAACAAGACCAAGAUGCAUUGUGACUAACCAAAAGUGCUCAUUUUAUUUGAAAGAGGGUGUGGAGUAAAUGGCUCUGAUUCUGGGCCAGGUGUUUGACAACCUGGGCCAGUGGCAGCAAAGGCUGUGGUGUCAGGGCAGAAAGGAUGUGCUGACGAACAUUGUCACUCCUUCUGGUGGCCGUCUUUCUCAUCCUAGAGGGGCCUGGCUUAGAUACAUCCUAGAGGGGCCUGGCAGGUCUAAAAUGAGCAGGAAAGGGACACAAAUUGGGAAAUACUUGAGCCUCAUACUAAAGACUGGGGUGCAGGGACAUCUUUCCCAUCAUUUGUCACAGCCGAAAGGACAGGCAUCUCCCACAAAGUUGUUGAGAUGACAGAUACUUCCUGCAUGGAAGCUCUGCGCUAACUACCUUUCUAGAGAUUCCUUUCAAGCUCAAACUGGGAUUACAGGAGGCAUUCAGCAAAUGAACACUGGCUGGACCAGCUGUUCCAUCUAUAACACGCUGAGGCCCUUCAGAGUGUCUAAAGUCUGGUAUAAUUUGUCUGCACAGGUGCUUCACAUAGAAAGCUAUUAAGUUUUCAUUUAUGCUGGCAUUUCACCAGAGGUAUUCAAGCCUCCCAGAGCUGGAAAAGGUUACAUUCUUAAAUGAUAGGAUACAAAGGAAUUUCAGAUCUUAGGGAGAGAAGCUGGAACUAGUGGGCAAUCGCCCUACUGGUUCAUAAUGUGUCCUUGGUUUCUGAACUCCUUCAGCAUCUUGCCUGCCUCUGCCCUUCUUGAUACUUCUGUGCCAGAUACAGUCGCUGAUUAACCCUCCUUUUCAUUUUUAUGUCAAACAUUUCUAAUGUCUCAGUGAUAAACUCAGCCUGACUGGUGUGCUGCUGACCUUGCACUUGCUUUGAAUUUGCUGGUCAGCUGCAGUUUACUCUUCACGGCUUGCCUGAAGUUAGCAUUAUGUGAUGUGAUGUGAUGAUGUGAGCAAAACAGAUUAGAAAUGGUCCAGAAGAUUAGACCAACAAAACAAUGGAUGACUUCUGUCUCAACCACAUGCAGAUGGAAGAGAGGUGGAUAGGAUAGAUACAUCCUAGAGGGGCCUGGCAGGUCUAAAGUGAGUGGGAAAGGGACACAAAUAGGGAAAUACUCAAGCCUUCAUAUUAAAGACUGGGUUGCAGGGACAUCUUUCAAGUCCUUUUAAUUUGUUUAAGAAAUAAUUUCAUCCUUGCAUCUGAAUAUAUUUGAACACAGGUGCAAGUUAAAUACAGUGGAACCCACUGGGCUCCUGAUGUUAAGGUGGGUGUCCUAUACCUGCCUUGGGAGGUGGCUCCAUAAGAUGAGUUUUUUGAUCCCUUCUUUGUUUCCAUUGGAAUGGAUGUUAGCAUAGUCACUUCGUAUCUUAGGGAACCUCCAGCCUGUCUGCGUUCGGUGACACCCUUCCUCUUCUUUCUCUCCUCCUCCUCAGGACAUACAGAAGAAGGUGGCAAUUCCCUCACCUCCUUUUACCUUUGAUUUUUAAAACACUUGCCAUGUGCUGGCCCUGUGCCCAGCAUGUCACCUUCAUCUCCUUAUUUAAUAUUGCCAAUAGGCAGCCGAGCCUUUGUCAACUACCAUUCUACUUUCUGUCUUUAUGAAUUGGACCACUUCAAGUAUCUCAUGAAGCAAGACAUUCUUCAACAAACUGGAACAAAUAGUUCUAAAAUUCAUAUGGAACCACCAAAGACCCCAAAUAGCCAAAGCAAUCCUGAGAAGGAAGAAUAAAGUGGGGGGAAUCUCGCUCCCCAACUUCAAGCUCUACUACAAAGCCACAGUUAUCAAGACAAUUUGGUACUGGCACAAGAACAGAGCCACAGACCAAUGGAACAGAAUAGAGACUCCAGACAUUAACCCAAACAUAUAUGGUCAAUUAAUAUACAAUAAAGGAUCCAUGGACAUACAAUGGGGAAAUGACAGCCUCUUCAACAGAUGGUGCUGGCAAAACUGCACAGCUACAUGUAAGAGAAUGAAACUGGAUCAUUGUCUAACCCCAUACACAAAAGUAUUCAAAAUGGAUCAAAGACCUGAAUGUAAGUCAUGAAACCAUAAAACUCUUAGGAAAAAACAUAGGCAAAAAUCUCUUGGACAUAAACAUGAGUGACCUCUUCAUGAACAUACCUCCCCGGCAAGGGAAACAAAAGCUAAAAUGAACAAGUGGGACUAUAUCAAGCUGAAAAGUUUCUGUUCAGCAAAGGACACCACCAAUAGAACAAAAAGACAGCCUACAGUAUGGGAGAAUAUAUUCAUAAAUGACAGAUCCAAUAAAGGGUUGACAUCCAAAAUAUAUUAAGAUCUCAUGCACCUCAACAAACAAAAAGCAAAUAAUCCAAUUAAAAAAUGGACAGAGAAGCUGAAUAGA